UAUUGAUUUGGAGAGGAGGGGGAGAGAAAAAAGAUUGAGAACCACUGAAAGUGUUUUCCUGAACUCACUCUGUAACCUAAUAUACCUUAAUGUAGGUGAAUCUGAUUCAAUUAUGCUAAAUCAUAUUUUUGACUUGAAUGAGUUAAUUCAGAUGUUACAACAGCAACAUUUACCACCUUUUUUUUCAAAGUUAAAGAACUUUAAUGCAUUCAUUAUAUCUUGUAGUGCACUUUAUAAUACAUUGCAUGAUCUCGUGAAUAACUGUAACCACAGUUGUAAUACAUUAAUAUAGAUAUAAUGCAUUAUUUUGUACAUUAUGUCACAGUUAUAAUGCCUUAUACAUAAUUGUUCUCAGCGACAGAUGACGACACUGAAAAAUGGCGUGCAAAAAAUGAAGCACUAUUUACAGGGCGCCGCAACGCAGCCCAAAAAGGCUUUGAACAAUUUGUCAUUGAGCAUGGAAUGGAGGGAAAGGUGAAUCCCACCAAGGUGAAGAGGAAGUGGGAAAAUAUUACAUUUUCUGAAUUAUAUUGACUAUACUGUAAGCAGAUAUGUGUGUCUUUGUUUAUAUUGUUUUGGGAUCUGAAAGCCCCUAGAACAGGGGUUAGCACUGAGGGAGGGGAGGCCACUGCCGCAUCUUGGAAGUGGUAUAGUUUAAUGGAUGAGGCACUGGGACGGAGGCCAUGCAUUAGUCCUUCUGUCAUCAUUGACUCUGCUGCCCAGGAUGUGCUGGUGAUCGCCCCUCCCAAUGAAGAGCCCAGCACAUCUCUACAGAAGAGGAAGAAGAGGGACACAGACCUGGUGGCUGUCUUCAAAAGCAUGCAAGAAAGAGAUGAAGAGAGAGAAAGAAUGAAUAUGGAGAGAAGAGAGAGAGAAGCACUUGAGAGAGAAGAUAGAAAAGAGAUGGAGAGGUUAAGGAGAGAGGAAGACAGGGAAGAGAGGAGAGAAAGGGAAUGGAGAGCUUGGGAAGAAAGGAGGGAGACAGAGCACAGAGAGAGAGAGAGGAAAGGAGAUAGUGCAGAGAUGGCAGCAUCUGGGGCAGACACUGCAUCUGUUAGGCGACUUCUGAGGUUGUCCCCAGGAAUCUGCUGGAUCAUUAUGUUGGAUGGCAUCAGCGUCGACAUGGAGGGUAUUCUGUUCUACAUUGAUCUCAUCAGGCUCCAUGAUGUCCCCAUUUGUGAGGCAAAGAUUGUGUAAGAAAGCACAACAGGAGAUAACCACUGGAGCAAAGGCAACCUUCACCUAUAAGCAGAAUGUUCCCUGAAGGGGGUCAUCAGGCAUAUGGGGACCGACAAGCAGGGAUAACCUCCAUCUCCAAUAAUUCACCAACCUGGAGGUGGGUAGAGCUGCUGCACAUAAAUAGUGCUCCACCUUAGCACUCUGGCAUCAUGCACUGCACCAGGAAACCCAGAAAAGACAUUUAGAAAGAGGCCUUUGUGGUCACAGAUGACUUGGAGUUGAAGUGAGUGGAAGAGCUUCCUGUUGAAAUAAUCUUCCCUGUUCUCAGCAGGAGGCUUAAUUUUGAUGUGGGUCCCAUCAAUGCUGCCAGCAACAUGGCGGAAAGCUGGAGAGUCAGCAAGGUUGGCAAACCCUGUACCAAUUUCCUCCAGUUCAUCUGGAUCUGGCAGGUGGACCACUCUCUUGAACAUCUUUAAGAUGUCAUGAGCAACUUGAUGAAUAAUACCAUGGAUGGUAGUGCGGGGGAUGUCAAAAGCCUCUGAUACAACACGAUAAGAUGUACCACAUGCCAGCCAAUAAACAAAAACCCCAACCUCCAAUGCUUUACGCCAUCCAUGAUCUUGCUCUGUUUCCAAGAUCUGAACAAGUGCAUUCAAGCUUUCCCUGGACAAACGGAAGUCUUUUCUGAUGUCUUCUUCACCAAAGUAUAAUCGGAGGACAGGUGUGUUUGCAUUGAGAUAACAAUACCUUGUUCUUAUUGCAAUCUGAAUAAAAAUACAUUUUACUUGAAU